rnacentral:lncRNA from 10 species
GCUUUUGGGUGUUGGACAACCAUAGGCAAAACUGAAAUGGAACAGGGGCAGAAAAUAGCACACUUUUACUCUACGCAACUGUUGCUUUUUCAUGAUCUUCAGGAAUUUUACUGGGAUAAUUAUCCAAAUAAAUUGCAAGCAUUCUAUCCAAAUGGACAUCCAUAAAAAUUCAUCAGAGAGCAUUUUACUACUGAGCUGCAAAGAUGACAAGAGCACCUCAAAGGCAGCAGCCUCAAGGAGCAGCCAUGGCCCCAGACUUGUCGCACGGAUGCAGAAAACUUAAUGGAGGAGGCUGAGCAAAACAGAGCGUGACACUCCCAAUCAUCUGCAUGCUGGAAAUGAGGAAAUGGUUAUUGAAUGAUACAAGUGCUUUUCGAUCAUUUAGAAAGUUCUGUUUCCCAAGAUCUUUUUUUUUUUUUUUUUU